GAUGAACGCUAGCUACAGGCCUAACACAUGCAAGUCGAGGGACCGGCGCACGGGUGAGUAACACGUAUCCAACCUGCCCUUUACUCGGGGAUAGCUUUUCGAAAGAAAGAUUAAUACCCGCUGAAAAGGAUGGGGAUGCGUUCCAUUAGGUUGUUGGUGAGGUAACGGCGCACCAAGCCUUCGUUGGAUAGGGGAUCUGAGAGGAAGGUCCCCCACAUUGGAGCUAAGGCACGGUCCAAACUCCUACGCGAGGCAGCAGAGAGGAAGACUAGUGAAGGGGCGUUAGCCUGAACCAGCCAAGUAGCUUGAAGAAGGAAGGCUUAUGAAUCGUAUACUGCUUUUAUAGAAGAAGAUGUAUUAUAUGAAUAAGGAUCGGCUAACUCCGUGCCAGCAGCCGCGGUAAUUC
rnacentral:rRNA from 1 species